AGGACAGCAGCACUUGCUAAGCUUCUAGAGGCCACCUAUUUUCCUUGACUCAUGGCUCCUUCCUCUGUCUUCAAAGCUUGCAAUGGCCAGUUGAGUCUUUCACACCUCGUACGACUCUGACUCACAUUCUUCUGCCAUCUUUUUCCAUUUACAAGGACACUUGUGAUUACAUCUGUCUAUUGGGAAAAUCCGGGGUCACUUCCCCAUCUCAAGGUCAGCUGCAUCGAACACCCCGGGCUGGCUCAAUUCCUUUCUACACCUGCCAAGAAAAUCUAAGUGGAUAAUGAUGCUGACCAAUCUAUGGGCCGUGGGCAACACAGGAAGUCAGUGGGCCCGCAAAAAGCUGGGCACCACGUGUUACGGUUGGGAAAUGAAUCUUCAGUGACAGAGCCCACAGAGGAAAACACCCAAACCUGACCCUCCCUUUAACCUUGCGAGCGCUAUCACUCAGCCAGAUACCACCACUGUUUCCCGAGGACUAAGAGAGAUGGCUCUUUGCCUGGUGGAGCUGUGAGGACGAUGAUGGGAAACGGGCAUGCUGGCAUCGGAGCUUUUCUGGAUUGGAAAAAGAGGAUUUUACUUUUCAGCACCUGCCAGCAUGACAGGUUUGCCAAGAAUUCUACACUAAACAAACACACACGCCUACAUCACCCCUCCUCCCAAGCAGGCAUAACCCACUGGGGAAGGAAACAGCUCAGGAAGGCGGAUGGCAGGGGUUCGUGAACCUUGCUAG